UUACCGGCUAGUGACAGGCUUAAGGGAAACUGAGGACAAAGAAUCAGUACCUUUAGAAGGGUGUGAAACCAAAGCAUACAGAAAAGGCAGGUUGGAUUAAUGACCACCUUCCUAACAAUAACAGCCUUUAUCUAGGAGCUCAGAGACUGGAAUGUCUUAACCACACAGCUUCCUGGAACUAUUUUUACUUUGUAUUUUACAAGAGGAGAAAGAGCAGAAGCGUCUUAGAUAAACAACAAGGUUUGGGCUCAGC
rnacentral:lncRNA from 1 species